rfam:Bacteria symbiont BFo1 of Frankliniella occidentalis strain BFo1 contig140, whole genome shotgun sequence.
GGUUGGUUCUCCCGCAAUGCUAAUUUGUGAACUCGGUCAGGUCCGGAAGGAAGCAGCCGUAACAGAUGACGCGUGUGCCGGGAUGUAGCUGGCAGGG